UGCAACAACAAAAGACAACUGCUGUUGUGUAUCAAGAGAUAAGUUCAAAUAUUGUUUUUGUGCCAUACAUUAAUUAACUUUUAGCUAGGUCUAUGAAUGGUUCUUUGAAAUGUAAGUUGGCAAUGACUUUGUGCUACUUUACUAGAAGCUGCUAAUGCUAAGAAAAGGAAGACAAAGACCAAUAGUAUCUUUGUCCCAGCCAAACGAAAUAAGACUGAUUUGGAUGGUAUAGAUGGUGCCUCACUUUGUGUGCAUUGGUUGAUUAGUAUUUGUUUGUAAUAUAACUGAGCUGAAGAGAACCAGUGCAACAGCAAAUGGUUGUAGACAGAAACAAAAAAGUGAGUGUGCGACUUUAGAUGUAAUACCAUUAUAAACUGAUUACAUGAUCGCAAAAAAGUUGCCUUUCUCCAAUCAGUGUCUGUAUGAUUGCAAUAAGCUCUUGAAUCAGAAAGUGUCCUUGUGGCAGGGCGAUAUUACAGCCCUUGAAAUUGAUUCAAUUGUCAAUGCAGCCAAUGAAACACUUUUAGGAGGUGGAGGAAUAGAUGGAAGGAUUCAUGAAGUGGCAGGGCCUGGCCUCUCAAACGAAUGCUUAAAGCUUAAUGGAUGUAAAACUGGCUCUGCAAAACUGACACUAGGCCAUAAGUUACCAGCUCAGUAUAUGUGAUGGUUUCAAAUAUGAUCAGCAGUUUGUAUGUACACGUAGUAAAACAUGUUUUCUUCAAGACGUGUUGCAUGCUGUGGGACCAAAAGACAGAGAUAAGAGAAUCUGCAUAGUUGUUACAGAACAUGCCUUGACCUGUAUGUUAAAAGCACAAGCUAAGAUCUGUGGCAUUUUGCUGUAUAUCAACUGGAACAUAUGGUUAUUCAAACAGAGAUGCUGCCAUGGUUGCACUAUACACUGUAAGACGAUGGCUGAAUGACCCAAAGUGUGCAGAGAACAUGGAAAGAAUAAUUUUCUGCGUUUUUCUGGAUGUGGAUAAAACAGUCUAUGAAAGAGUAAUGCCACAAUUCUUUCUAACAGAAGAAAGCACAAGGGAUUUAUUGGCAAGACAUUACCAGCAGGUGUAGUGGAGUAGUGUCACGUUAACUGGAAAUCACAUGCAUGAGAGUUUUAUUGAACUUGUAGAAUAUUGGUACUGCUAGGUAUCGAAGGAAAAAUAAGAAAAGCA